rnacentral:rRNA from 1 species
GUGCCAGCCGCCGCGGUAAUACGUAGGGGGCAAGCGUUGUCCGGAAUCAUUGGGCGUAAAGCGCGUGUAGGCGGCUCGGUAAGUCUGCUCUGAAAGCCUGGGGCUCAACCCUGGGAGGCGGGUGGAUACUGCUGAGCUCGAGUCCGGAAGAGGCGAGUGGAAUUCCUGGUGUAGCGGUGAAAUGCGCAGAUAUCAGGAGGAACACCAAUGGCGAAGGCAGCUCGCUGGGACGGUACUGACGCUGAGACGCGAAAGCGUGGGGAGCAAACAGGAUUAGAUACCCUUGUAGUCC